rnacentral:rRNA from 1 species
AACACAUGCAAGUCGAACGAGAAAGUGGAGCAAUCCAUGAGUAAAGUGGCGACCGGGUGAGUAACACGUGACUAACCUACCUCCGAGUGGGGAAUAACUCCGGGAAACCGGGGCUAAUACCGCAUAACAUCGCAAGAUCAAAGCAGCAAUGCGCUUGGAGAGGGGGUCGCGGCUGAUUAGCUCGUUGGCGGGGUAACGGCCCACCAAGGCGAAGAUCGGUAUCCGGCCUGAGAGGGCGCACGGACACACUGGAACUGAAACACGGUCCAGACUCCUACGGGAGGCAGCAGUGGGGAAUUUUGCGCAAUGGGGGAAACCCUGACGCAGCAACGCCGCGUGGAGGAUGAAGCCCUUUGGGGCGUAAACUCCUUUCGACUCGGACGAUAAUGACGGUACGAGUGGAAGAAGCACCGGCUAACUCUGUGCCAGCAGCCGCGGUAAUACAGAGGGUGCGAGCGUNGUUCGGAAUUAUUGGGCGUAAAGGGCGCGUA